GCGAGCUCGGGAGAGGCGGGCCGGCCCCCGCUCUUGCAGGACCUGGGCACCGGGCAAAGGGUCCCCGCUCCUCGAGAGGAGGCAGGCGACGAAGAUACGGACCCACAUUCUUUCAGGGCGGCGAGACCCCUGCAGCACCCGCCCGGAGUAGGAAGGGACUGAAGAUCUGAAGCUGAUGGUGACUGGGUCUGUCUAGACGCAGCUCGGUAAAAGAGAUGGAUGGAGACGAGAGAGUGGCCGAGGGACAGGCCCGCGGGGAAGCCAGGGGAAGAGCCGAGAAGGACGUGGUCUCAAGGGCUGGGGCGGUGCCCAUGAGCCUGGCGGAUCUCUGCUGCGACCCUUCCGGGCCGCGGUCUGCACUGACUCCUUCACUCCUCUGGUGCUCCCCACCAGCUGCGGUGAUUUAUGGCUGGGCCAGGCCUGACGACCUUGGACGGAUAACUAAUGACAGACACCUCAUUUGCCUAGGGGUCCCGUUUGCCUGCGAGGCAGGGUGGGGGACAUCCCCACUUCUGCCUGUGUCAUCUGGGGACCUCUGAGAACAGACUGCUGCCUCCUCCUCUUGGUUCUGCCAACUUCUUGGUCCUUGUUUGAGAUGCCCUGAUUCCUGGUCUCCAUUAGAACCCUGGGAGAGCAUCCAAGGGGAAGGCUAAGGAGGGAAGGUGACACACUCAUUCUCUGUCCACCCCCACACUCAGAAACUAAGUCA
rnacentral:lncRNA from 1 species